AUCUAUGCCAAUGAUAUCUUGUGAGGUGUCAUUUCAAUAAUGUGUUGCUAAUAAUUGUCUGUCUCAUUCUCCCCAUCUUUCAGCCAGCAUCUGGACGGUGAGGAAGAUUCGGGCCCACAUUGCUGAGGGAGAGCAAGCGGAGAAGCCCAUCUUCACACCAUGUGGUGUUAUUGGCUUUAAGAAGGAGCAGUUGACAUCAGGUUCUGAUCCACCGGCGGCCGUAAUGACCCCUGAACCUGAUGAUGGUAUCGCUAACGGCGGCCCGGCGGCGUCAGAGACCGCCGUGCAGAAGUGCGGAUCCUGAGGUUAAAGGUCACACUGGAUAACUGGCUGGGACCAAUAAAUUAUUAUUAAGCAUGUCUUGAAAAGGAUGCAUUCACAGAACUGUAUGUCGACAAACGCAGUCUCCUUGUUCGAAAAACUUUUGUACGUUUAUCAGGGAAAUUCUACUUUCCUGAUCUGGACGGUCUAUAAACAACAUUCACUAUUCUGAUACGUCUUCAUUUCUUCUUCAAAAGUGUGGAUUAUGUAUUAUAUUACUAGAUAUAACUGCAUUGUUGGAGCUAGAAACAUAAGAAUUUUGCUGCACCUGCAAAUCUGUACGCGACCAAUAAACUUUGAUAACUUUUUUGUAUAGCCCAACAUACUCUUACUUAACUUUGCUAUCCUUAAUCAAAGCAUUCCCAUAGAAAUUGUCACUACGACCAUAAUGAUGACUAGUUUUGAGACCAAAUUAUGACAUAAGUCAUUCAAUUUACGUUGUGUAGGUUUCUGAACCCAAGUAUGCUAAUACGAUAUCGCAAUAAAAAGUUGAUUAUUUACUGAUCUAUAGAAGAUCUUUAACAGCCCUCCAACUGGAAAAAUGUUUAUGUUGUCAUGCCCUUGCUGUCCCAGCCUCUGUCCAGUGUGCCCAUACUCAGUGGACCAAAUACUAAGCUGAGAUACUUGCUGUAAUUCCAACUUUCAGUCAUUAAGUCAGUGUGAAGUUAUGACAUUUUCAUAUACACUGAUCUCAGGUUAAUAUUGGGUCCAGUGAGCUCUGUUUAACCUCUGACACCAGAUGACCCUUUAUAGCUGCAGCGUGUGACGACCUGCUCACCAACCCCUCCACCCAGGGACUGAGCUGUUCUGAUGCCCCUGCUGCAGCUUCCCUAAUAAAAACUUAAACUAUCUGGUCGACUUGUCUUUUAUUGUGUUGUAGGCAUAUAACUUCCCAGAAUAUCCAUUGUGAGCUAUUAGGUACUACUAUCCUCACUAAUGAACAUUAAAAAUGAUCAAG
ensembl:lncRNA